GGAGUUAGAUACGUGAUCGCUGGUGGCGAGGGAAUCGAUCAUGAUUCUCGAGUUGCGAGAGGAAAGUCCGGGCAGCACAGGGCAGGAUGCUGGCUAACGGCCAGGCGGCGUGAGCCGACGGAAAGUGCCACAGAGAAUAGACCGCCGAUGGCUUCGGCACAGGCAAGGGUGAAACGGGGAGGUAAGAGCUCACCGCGGGGCUGG
rnacentral:RNase_P_RNA from 1 species